AGUUGCUCACUGCCGCCGCCGGCGCCGUCGCCGCCGCUCGACCUCAUCCCCAUGGACCUGUUCGAGCCCAUGGAGUGCAUCCCCAUGGGGCCGCAAAUAACCGCGGUGGACAACAUCGACCAGCCCCCACCGUCCGAUGACUCUGACAUCUUCAUCGGAGAAUUUGACGAAGGCAUCCAGCUGUCCGAUUCGGACUAAACCUCUAUAUUUUAUUUUGUUUCUACAGAGCUAUUGUUUAUUUUAUUAUUUUUUGUUUUGUUUGGAAACUCCAGAAGAAUGAAGUCGUCGAUUUGUGUUAGACUUAAGCGAAAAUGAGUUUGGGUUGUUUUACUUUUAAUAUACAAUUUAACAGUUAAA